AGCGAACGCUGGCGGCAGGCCUAACACAUGCAAGUCGAACGAACUCUUCGGAGUUAGUGGCGGACGGGUGAGUAACACGUGGGAACGUGCCUUUAGGCUCGGAAUAACUCAGGGAAACUUGUGCUAAUACCGAAUGUGCCCUUCGGGGGAAAGAUUUAUCGCCUUUAGAGCGGCCCGCGUCUGAUUAGCUAGUUGGUGAGGUAAAGGCUCACCAAGGCGACGAUCAGUAGCUGGUCUGAGAGGAUGAUCAGCCACAUUGGGACUGAGACACGGCCCAAACUCCUACGGGAGGCAGCAGUGGGGAAUCUUGCGCAAUGGGCGAAAGCCUGACGCAGCCAUGCCGCGUGAAUGAUGAAGGUCUUAGGAUUGUAAAAUUCCUUCACCGGGGACGAUAAUGACGGUACCCGGAGAAGAAGCCCCGGCUAACUUCGUG
rnacentral:rRNA from 1 species